AGUCGAACGGUGAACACGGAGCUUGCUCUGUGGGAUCAGUGGCGAACGGGUGAGUAACACGUGAGCAACCUGCCCCUGACUCUGGGAUAAGCGCUGGAAACGGCGUCUAAUACUGGAUAUGUGACGUGAUCGCAUGGUCUGCGUCUGGAAAGAAUUUCGGUUGGGGAUGGGCUCGCGGCCUAUCAGCUUGUUGGUGAGGUAAUGGCUCACCAAGGCGUCGACGGGUAGCCGGCCUGAGAGGGUGACCGGCCACACUGGGACUGAGACACGGCCCAGACUCCUACGGGAGGCAGCAGUGGGGAAUAUUGCACAAUGGGCGCAAGCCUGAUGCAGCAACGCCGCGUGAGGGACGACGGCCUUCGGGUUGUAAACCUCUUUUAGCAGGGAAGAAGCGAAAGUGACGGUACCUGCAGAAAAAGCGCCGGCUAACUACGUGCCAGCAGCCGCGGUAAUACGUAGGGCGCAAGCGUUAUCCGGAAUUAUUGGGCGUAAAGAGCUCGUAGGCGGUUUGUCGCGUCUGCUGUGAAAUCCGGAGGCUCAACCUCCGGCCUGCAGUGGGUACGGGCAGACUAGAGUGCGGUAGGGGAGAUUGGAAUUCCUGGUGUAGCGGUGGAAUGCGCAGAUAUCAGGAGGAACACCGAUGGCGAAGGCAGAUCUCUGGGCCGUAACUGACGCUGAGGAGCGAAAGGGUGGGGAGCAAACAGGCUUAGAUACCCUGG
rnacentral:rRNA from 1 species